UCCGUGCCGCCUGCCCGAACUGUUUUGCGCAUGCGCAUAAUUAUGCGCAUGCGCAGAAGCUCAACGUGUUUUACGACAGUUUACGACCCUACCUGAUCUGUUCUACGCAUGCGCGACAACCGGAGUUUAAAAAUAGUGAAGAAAUGCGUCAUAUAACAACACCGGCGAACAUAUGGAGGCUAAGUAAUUUGUAUAAAGGACCAACAUGGACCAGUAUUUAUUUCAUGCUGCCCUUCGGCAGUACCUACUAAGUGGGAUGUCGAUGUCGCGGUUGACUGGAAGAGAGUCAUGCGGGUGGCCAACCACUUCGUUGUAGAUGAUUUGUCCAUGCUGAUGGCCAUGCAGCAUAGUUGAAGCAGACCUGUCAGAAAACAUCUCUAAGGCGCUUUGAAUCCUAUGACUAGAUACGCAUCCUAAAAUUACUAGAGGUUACGGAAGCUCCUUUUUGGAUCCAGCUUCAUUUGUGAAGACUUCAGAUGAUGUCAACACUCACAGAGACUUAAGACGAUGGCAACAAUAGAUGAAGCAACACUCACAAAGACUUUAGAUGAUGGCAACUAUAGAUGGACAUACAAAAUUGCCAAAUAUAAUAUUGUAAUUACUGCCCCAAAGCGCAAGUUUGCAGAUUUUUAACCCACUUUAUAUUGUUACAAAUACAAUAGAUGCUAACAUUUGAACAGAAAAUGUUUCUUCUUUAUUCUUGAGUUAAUUGUGCUGAUUUAUUCCCUUUUUUUUAUCCACAGUACUUUGCCAAAAUUAUGUUUUGCAUCAUCCAAAUGGUUCAUUUACAAAUUACAGACAUUGUAACAACACAAAGUGGGUUGAAAUUCUGCCAACUUACCCUAUAAUAAUAAUAAUUGUCUUUUAACUGAACAUGACUUUAAACACAUGACUUGUAUUAUCUUAGAGCUAUUGUGAUAUUAAUAUUGUUUUGUUUCCAGAAUAUUCUCCUCAGUGAGUCACUGUUACCUCGGACUGAUUAAGGGAUUUUUUGUAACCUUGAAACAUGCAUUGGUUUUACUAUGGUCAAACUGCAGAUCUUAUUUCAAGGUUUUGUUACCAUGGUUCUACUACAGUAACAAUAUUGAAAUGCUGGAAUGAAACUGUGGUAACCAUAUUAUUUUAAAUCAUGGUAAAUUUGUGGUUACUAAAAUGCACUACUAUAUGUUUGUUUAAGAGCAUGAUUAUUUUUUAUGUAUUAAUAAACCAUGGUUGAUUUUA